rnacentral:snRNA from 1 species
CUUGCUUCUUGGCCUUUCGGCUAAAAGCAAAUGUGGUAUCUGCUCUCAUCAGCUGAACAUCUAUUAUAUCCUCUAUCCAAGAACACUAUAUUAAAUACAUUGUUGGAGUUGGAAUGUUGGAGUAAGGGGCUUGCUGCAUCCUAUAGUGACAGUUU